AGUGAACGCUGGCGGUAGGCCUAACACAUGCAAGUCGAACGGCAGCACAGUAAGAGCUUGCUCUUACGGGUGGCGAGUGGCGGACGGGUGAGGAAUACAUCGGAAUCUACUUUUUCGUGGGGGAUAACGUAGGGAAACUUACUCUAAUACCGCAUACGACCUACGGGUGAAAGCAGGGGAUCUUCGGACCUUUCGCGAUUGAAUGAGCCGAUGUCGGAUUAGCUAGUUGGCGGGGUAAAGGCCCACCAAGGCGACGAUCCGUAGCUGGUCUGAGAGGAUGAUAAGCGACACUGGAACUGAGACACGGUCCAGACUCCUACGGGAGGCAGCAGUGGGGAAUAUUGGACAAUGGGCGCAAGCCUGAUCCAGCCAUACCGCGUGGGUGAAGAAGGCGUUCGGGUUGUAAAGCCCUUUUGUUGGGAAAGAAAAGCAGCAGGUUAAUACCCCGCUGUUCUGACGGUACCCAAAGAAUAAGCACCGGCUAACUUCGUG
rnacentral:rRNA from 1 species